ensembl:lncRNA
ACGCGUCGCGGUGACGCACGACAGAGGCGACCAUUAUUGGGUGCUCCUCCAGAGAGUGAGGUUUGAAGCUUCCGUGAGUUGAGUUGGCCUCACCAGGACUGGUCAUCUGCUUCUGCCGGCCCAGGCCCCUGAGUUCGCGCAGCUCCAGGGGCGGGGCAUCGCCUCACCCCUUACAGCAGGACUGUAAGGUCAGCGACCCACAUUUGGCCUCUGCCUUCUCACCAGACCCCAGGCCCGCGACCCCCGCCAGAUGCUGGAUUUCUUUCAUGGAUGCUGGAUUUCUCUGUAAUUCACAUUAGAAGAUCAGAAUGGAAAUUUUCCUAUAAGAAAUAAGAAAUCUCUAUAGUUUGUAUAAACCACUGGUUUUUCAGGUCGGUCCCUUUCAUGAGCAAAUCCCAGGAUUGUGUAACCUUCCAGGAUACAUCAUACAGUUAAACUUUAAUGUACAUAAAUUUUACUUACCUACCCAAUGGAAAAAUCAAGAGAGUUCCAGAAAAACAUCUAUUUCUGCUUUAUUGACUAUGCCAAAGCCUUUAACUGUGUGGAUCACAAUAAACUGUGGAAAUUCUGAAACAGAUGGGAAUACCAGAUCACCUCACCUGCCUUUUGAGAAAUCUAUAUGCAGAUCAGGAAGCAACAGUUAGAACUGGACAUAGAAAAACAGACUGGUUCCAAACAGGAAAAGGUGGAAGUCAAGGCUGUGAAUUGUCACCCUGGUUAUUUAACUUCUAUGGAGAGUACAUCAUGAGAAAUGCUGGGCUGGAAGAAGCACAAGCUGGAAUCAAGAUUGCCAGGAGAAAUAUCAAUAACCUCAGAUAUCCAGAUGACAUCACCCUUAUGGCAGAAAGUGAAGUGGAACUAAAAAGCCUCUUGAUGAAAAUGAAAGACGAGAGUGAAAAAGUUGGCUUAAAGAUCAACAUUCAGAAAACGAAGAUCAUGGCAUCCGGUCCCAUCACUUCAUGGGAAAUAGAUGGGGAAACAGUGGAAACAGUGUCAGACUUUAUUUUUUCUGGGCUCCAAAAUCACUGCAGAUGGUGACUGUAGCCAUGAAAUUAAAAGAUGCUUACUUCUUGGAAGGAAAGUUAUGACCAACCUAGAUAGCAUAUUGAAAAGUGGAGACAUUACUUUGCCAACAAAGGUCCGUCUAGUCAAGGCUAUGGCUUUUCCAGUGGUCAUGUAUGGAUUUGAGAGUUGGACUGUGAAGAAGGCUGAGCACUGAAGUAUUGAUGAUUUUGAACUGUUGCGUUGGAGAAGACUCUUGAGAGUCCGUUGGACUGUAAGUAGAUCCAACCAGUCCAUUCUAAAGGAGAUGAGUCCUGGGUGUUCUUUGGAAGGACUGAUGCUAAAGCUGAAACUCCAAUACUUUGGCCACCCCAUGCGAAGAGUUGACUCAUUGGAAAAGACUCUGAUGCUGGGAGGGAUUGGGGGCAAGAGGAGAAGGGGACGACAGAGGAUGAGAUGGCUGGAUGGCAUCACUGACUCGAUGGACGUGAGUCUGAGUGAACUCCAGGAGUUGGUGAUGGACAGAGAGGCCUGGCGUGCUGUGAUUCAUGAAGUCGCAAAGAGUCGGACAUGACUAAGUGACUGAUCUGAUCUGAUCUGACUCGUGUGGGAUGGUAUUUCAUUGUAGUAUUGAAAUGCAUUUCUACAGUAACAAGUAAUAUUGAGCAUCUUUUCAUGUGUUUGUUAUCCAUCUUUAUGUCUUCUUUGGAGAAAUGUAUGUUUAUGUUUUUUACCACUGUUUUCAUUUUUCCUCUUUUUAAUUGGAUUGUUUUUUGUUUUUUUCCUGGAAUUGAGUUGUAUGAGGUGCUCAUAUAUUUUGGAAAUUAAUGCUUGUUUCAUUUGCUAUUAUUUUCCCCCAUUCUGAGGGGUGUCUCUUCACUUUGCUUAUAGUUUCCUUUGCUGUGAAACAGGUUUUAAGUUUCAUCAAGUCUUAUUUGUUUAUUUCUGCUUUUAUUUCCAUUACUCUCAAAAGUGGCUCAUAGAGGGUAUUGCUUUGAUUUAUGUCAUUGAGUGUUUUCCUCUUAGAGUUUUAUAAUUUCUGGUCUUUCAUUUAGGUCUUUAAUCCAUUUUGAGUUGAUAUCUGUGGGUCAUUUUAGGAAGUGUUCUAAUUUCAUUCCUUUACAUGUAGCUGUCCAGUUUUCCUGGUACCACUUAUUGAAGAGGUUGUCUUUGCCACAUUGUAUAUUCUUGCCUCAUUUGUCAAAAAUAAGGUACCCAUAGCUGCAUGGGUUUAUUUCUGGGCCUUCUGUCUUGUUUCAUUGAUUUAUAUUUCUGUUUUUCAAUCAGUACUUUCUUGAUGACUGUAGCUUUGUAAUAUAAUCUGAAGUCAGAAAGGUUGAUUCCAGGGGUGAUCCUAAAAUUAUAGAGGAAUAGGAUUGGGAGACCACUUUCUCCUCCACAAAUUCAUUGAAAGAACAUUUGAACGCUGAGCAAAUUACACAAAACAACUGAAUGCUGGCAGAGUACGUCAGGCACCCAGAAAGGCAGCCCAUUGUCUUCGAAAGGAGAUAGGGGGAAAAAGACAAAAGAUAUAAAGAGAAAUAAACGAGGGAGGGAUGCAGAUCCAUCCCCGGAAGGGAGUCUUAAAAAAAGAGAGAAGUUUCCAAACACCAGGAAACACACUCACCAGCAAAUCUGUGGUGAGCCUUGGAACAUUACCAGAGGGCAACAUUACCAGGAGGAAAAAUAAAUAAUUAAACCCACAGAUUACAUGCCUAAGGCAACUUCCAGUGGAGAAGCUGCUCAUACGCUUACAUCCGCCACUAGCAUGAGGGGGCUGGGCAGUGAGGCAGGGGCUUCAUUGCUUAGAGUAAGGACUGGACCUGAAUGCCCUAAGGGCAAUCUGAAAGGACUGACUUGAGAUAGCAAACCAGACUAUGGGAUAGGUAUCCCGCAAAAAGCCCUAACCUAAAACACUGCCAGGCCCUCUCACUGAACAAAGGAUGGACUAGAGUAGCUAGCUGUGGACCGGCCCAUCCCCCACUGACGACAGACAGGUGAGGGCAGCCAGAUCUGGAAGGGGACAAUCAUGGCCCAAGAGAAGCAUCAUCUACCAAACUGCAAGCAGGCUUCUUUGCUAACCAAGACUCCUUGGGAUUCUGGAUGGUCGACAUCUGCCGGGAAAGUCACAGCCAGAGAUCAGCUCCCCAGAGGAGACACACAGCACACCUGAGAAGGUGUGCCCAUUGUACACCCAGAAAACUGAGUGGCUGGGACGGAGGAAGUGGUAAGUCAUAGCUUCCCAAGCUUCUGGUCACCUGAGCUGCUCAGACUGGGAAAGGGCACAAAACACAGGCCAAAUUAAGUCUGUGCCUUUGUGGAGUACCCAAGAACCUUAACCUGAAUGUCUUAGACCUGGGAAGUGCUCUCAGUCCAGGACCGGCCUCAGACAGUUCCUAGCAGAGCAACCUAGAACCUGAGCAGUGUAGACUGGGAAAGCACACACGACCCAGAGGGAUGGUAUGGGGAGGGAUGUGCGAGGGGGGUUCAUGAUGGGAAACGUGUACAUCUGUGGCAGAUACAUGUUGAUGUAUGGGAAAACUAAUACAAUAUUGUAAAGUAAUUAGCCUCCAAUUAAAAUAAAUUUACAUU